CAAUAGCGUAUAUUUAAGUCGUUGCAGUUAAAAAGCUCGUAGUCGGAUUUUGGCUGAGAACGAUCGGUCCGCCGUUAGGUGUGCACUGAUUGGUCUCAGCUUCCGGGUGAGGAGGUGUGCUUCACGGCCACUUAGUCACCGUGGUUACUUUGAAAAAAUUAGAGUGUUCAAAGCGGGCUUACGCUUGAAUAUAUUAGCAUGGAAUAACACCAUAGGACUCCUGUCCUAUUUCGUUGGUCACGGGACGGGAGUAAUGAUUAAGAGGAACAGUUGGGGGCAUUCGUAUUUCAUUGUCAGAGGUGAAAUUCUUGGAUUUAUGAAAGACGAACUUCUGCGAAAGCAUUUGCCAAGGAUGUUUUCAUUGA
rnacentral:rRNA from 1 species